rnacentral:rRNA from 1 species
GUUUGAUCCUGGCUCAGAUUGAACGCUGGCGGCAGGCCUAACACAUGCAAGUCGAGCGGGGUUUUCGGACCUACCGGCGGACGGGUGAGUAAUGCGUAGGAAGCUACCCGAUAGAGGGGGAUACCAGUUGGAAACGACUGUUAAUACCGCAUAAUGUCUACGGACCAAAGUGUGGGACCUUCGGGCCACAUGCUAUCGGAUGCGCCUACGUGGGAUUAGCUAGUUGGUGGGGUAAUGGCUCACCAAGGCGACGAUCCCUAGCUGGUUUGAGAGGAUGAUCAGCCACACUGGAACUGAGACACGGUCCAGACUCCUACGGGAGGCAGCAGUGGGGAAUAUUGGACAAUGGGCGCAAGCCUGAUCCAGCCAUGCCGCGUGUGUGAAGAAGGCCUCCGGGUUGUAAAGCACUUUCAGCGAGGAGGAAGGGUUAGUAGUUAAUAGCUGCUAAUUUUGACGUUACUCGCAGAAGAAGCACCGGCUAACUCUGUGCCAGCAGCCGCGGUAAUACAGAGGGUGCAAGCGUUAAUCGGAAUUACUGGGCGCAAAGCGCACGUACGCGGUUUUUUAAGUCAGAUGUGAAAGCCCCGGGCUCAACCUGGGAAUUGC